UGGGGAAUUUUGGACAAUGGGCGCAAGCCUGAUCCAGCCAUGCCGCGUGCGGGAAGAAGGCCUUCGGGUUGUAAACCGCUUUUGUCAGGGAAGAAAUCUUCUGAGUUAAUACCUCGGGAGGAUGACGGUACCUGAAGAAUAAGCACCGGCUAACUACGUGCCAGCAGCCGCGGUAAUACGUAGGGUGCAAGCGUUAAUCGGAAUUACUGGGCGUAAAGCGUGCGCAGGCGGUUUUGUAAGACAGAGGUGAAAUCCCCGGGCUCAACCUGGGAACUGCCUUUGUGACUGCAAGGCUUGAGUGCGGCAGAGGGGGAUGGAAUUCCGCGUGUAGCAGUGAAAUGCGUAGAUAUGCGGAGGAAACACCGAUGGCGAAGGCAAUCCCCUGGGCCUGCACUGACGCUCAUGCACGAAAGCGUGGGGAGCAAACAGGAUUAGAUACCCUGGUAGUCCACGCCCUAAACGAUGUCAACUGGUUGUUGGGAAGGUUCCUUCUCAGUAACGUAGCUAACGCGUGAANUUGACCGCCUGGGGAGUACGGCCGCAAGGUUGAAAAC
rnacentral:rRNA from 1 species